GACGAACGCUGGCGGCGUGCCUAAUACAUGCAAGUAGAACGCACAGUUUAUACCGUAGCUUGCUACACCAUAGACUGUGAGUUGCGAACGGGUGAGUAACGCGUAGGUAACCUGCCUGGUAGCGGGGGAUAACUAUUGGAAACGAUAGCUAAUACCGCAUAAUAUUAAUUAUUGCAUGAUAAUUGAUUGAAAGAUGCGACUGCAUCACUACCAGAUGGACCUGCGUUGUAUUAGCUAGUAGGUGAGGUAACGGCUCACCUAGGCGACGAUACAUAGCCGACCUGAGAGGGUGAUCGGCCACACUGGGACUGAGACACGGCCCAGACUCCUACGGGAGGCAGCAGUAGGGAAUCUUCGGCAAUGGACGAAAGUCUGACCGAGCAACGCCGCGUGAGUGAAGAAGGUUUUCGGAUCGUAAAGCUCUGUUGUAAGAGAAGAACGGGUGUGAGAGUGGAAAGUUCACACUGUGACGGUAUCUUACCAGAAAGGGACGGCUAACUACGUG
rnacentral:rRNA from 1 species